CUCUCUUUUCCGCAAAUGUUUGAAAUUUCCACCUCCAUGAAUUCUUUAAGCUCAUAUCAUGGCCUCGAAGUUAAAAUUUGGAAACCGUUGUCAACGAGCUUGAGCACAUUCGGCACCCCCAGCUUCAUCCACGCUGGAUGUAAUGCAUAACAAGCGCGCACGACAUUGGGUGUGCCAAAAUGUGCUCUAGCUGCGCAAGUUGUUCUCAGCCUACGUAGAACGACAAACCGAGAAGCCACAGUACACACGGUUACAGAAGUUACACAGAUUUGUGUACUACUAGAUCAGCCUCACCGCUGUGUCAAAUGUACACAGAUACUUUUCCGGCUCCAGCGCUGGCAUGAAAACAAAAUUAACAAUUAUUUUUGCAUUGAUCGAUUCCUGAUAAUGCAUGUCAUCGUUCAGAGAAAAUUAGUUAUGAACUUUGCUCCCAUACCCGCGCUAGAGCCAGAAAAGUGACUGUGUACAUUUGACACAGGGGUGGAGGCUGAUCUAGUAGUACACAAAUCUGUGUACAUUGUACACAAGCCUGUGUACAUUGUACACAAGCCUGUGUUGUUUCGUUUUAGGGUGCAGAGCGGUGUUUUGCUUCUGCCUCGUCGCGAGGGAGCGAACGAACCCCAAACAGAGAGGCAAUAAAAACUGAGCGAGGAAGAGGGGAACGAAAAAAGAGCCGAUGAUUAUUUCGGGUUUUCGAGUGCGAUUUUUGCCUCGAGAGUCUUUCUUUGUAUGAGAGUGGAACUCCCGAGUGCUUUUUGAGUGUGAGUGGACGUGAGAAACACAACAAGCAAUUAUGAG